AUGGGUGUGCCCGACAGCAUUAUCGCCCAUCAAGUUGCUGAAAUGAUGACAGAACCAUUGUUGCCGCUUUCAGAAAGUCAUUCGCAGGCACCACCAAUGGACGAGAUUCAGGCAAAGGCAGCAGCAAACGCACACAAGGAGGGUCAUUCGCAGGCACCACCAAUGGGGGUGCCUGAUAGUGAAUAUCCCUCUGUGCUUUCAUUUCUGCCUUCACCUGAGUCUGCUAGUUGCUUGCCUGUAACAUGUGAGAGGCCCGAGCGUAUUAAGUAUACCCAAAGCUUCACAAAUUCGUCAAAGGCAACCAGGCCAUGUGGAGUUCCGACGAGGCUGUCUUUUUCACGAAUGACGAAUCUUCUGAGGCAAGUGACAAACCUCACCCGGAAAUGUCAAAGGCUCCGGAAGAAGCGGGAAAAAUUACAUGGACAGGUCUCUACUCUGAGACAGCAGGCUAAAGAGGCGGAAGGUUUGAUGAAGAAAACGAACGUCAGAAUCCUCCAGAAAAAGGUGGAGGAGAACGAUGAAAAAGCACUCUUCCUUCAAGAGCAGCUUGCUUUCCUGAGUAGAAAAAAAAGGACGAUGGCGUGAGGAGACAAUAUGCAAAUGUGCUCUUUGGCAUGUAAAGUCACCAGCUGGGUACCGCUUUCUUCGGGAGACUGCUGUCUUGACUCUACGAAGUCGCUCUACUCUUAAGCGGUACAUUGGUGCAUGUACAGGAGAGGUAGUGUCCUCUCUCAUCAAGCCGCGCCUCUACGCGGAGGUGAAACUGCACUCCAAGGAGUUAAAUAAUUUUUUGCCUUCAGGUAAAAAUAUUGGAGCCAUGCUCUUUAAUAAUGAGAUGUCCCAAAAGCAGUCGGAUGCUGUGCAUGGAUUGGUGGACCUUGGGGGUGCUGAAGUGGACUUUGGCUUAGAAGAGGAACUGGCAACUCACCUGCUCUGUUUCAUCUUUGUAGGACUGUCUACCCACUACAGGCUCCCUGUAGUGUAUUAAUUCACGAAAUGUUUGACAGGAGAACAGCUUGAGCUCCUUGCUCUCAAAGUGAUGACAUCAGUUGAAGAAGUUGGCUUUCAGGUGGUGAGGUUAGUUGCUGAUAACCUUAGCACUAACUGAAAGUUUUUGCCAGUUUGUCUGGAGGCCGUAUACGCCCUGUUGUCACCCACCCUCUCAAUCCAUAUAGGCCACUCUUCCUAUCAUUUGAUUAUUACCAUGUCAUUAAAAAUAUCAGAAAUCAGUUCCUGGACACGAGAAGAAUAAUGGAGUGUUGAUCGUUCCAGACUACCUGAGGAACCUACAUGACACACAAGAGAAGCAAGGUGCGUUCAAGCUCGUCAGGUGCUUGAAGAAAAAGCACCUUUGACCAAGUAAUUUUGAGAAGAUGUCUGUUGCCAGGGCUGUUGCCAUCUUUUCUCCUCAGGUCACAUAAUUCCUCAGGUUUCUAGAAAAACAUGGACGGCAACUUGGUGUCCAUGGAUUCGACCGGUGUCUUCCCACCAUUGAAUUUAUGGAGCUUGUCUAUAAGUGGUUCACUCUCCCCAAUGUCAAAAGUACAACGUUAUUCUGGUUGAGGAAAGAUCCCUUGAGAAUGCCCUUCUGUGGUAAAGAUGACGAAGGGCUCACUUGGCUCGAAAAUAAUGGCCAUGCCUAUUUCGAGAAAUGGAAAAAGGGCGCCGCAUACAAGCUGGAGUUCUUUUUCGAGGAAACUGAUGAGGCGCUAGGGAUCACAACAAUGUCAACUGUUCUUUGCACCAGGCAUCUCAUUGCCCUUGGAUUCCGUUUCGUUCUAACUGGAAAGUUCUCAAGCGAUGAAGUGGAAUCCUUGUUUUUAACUAUCCGGCAACUCAACGGGUCAAAUGACCAAACUGAUGCCCAUGCGGCACUGUCGUCGCUUCAGAAGAUUUUAGUUACAUGCAUCAUCCAUUCAUCCCCAAGUGUCAAUGUGGGCAGUGUGAUAGGCUCCGUUGGGGAGGCAACAAAACUUGCCCCUCAACCUGCGCCAGUGGCAACACCUGAGAAAGACAUCAAGAAGCUUCUGCUUCCUCACCUGGCUGCACUGGAGUGCUACCGAAGUCCAUCCCAACAAAGUUUGCGAACGAGCACGCUGGCACCAAUUGCUGGCUUCGUUGUAAUAGCUGUGGAAGAUAACGUGAGCUGUGAAGGCUGCUUGUCAAAGAUACAGUCGCCAAAAUCGAGCACUAUCACAGUUGCUCUGAUUGCAGGAGUUGAUCGGGGAGGGCUUUCUUAUCCCACUUUAGCAUUUGUCGGGUUUGUGAGCGUACUUGAAAGUACUGCCUCUAGAGCAGCUGCUGUCCUUGUGAAAGGGCCGCAACCAUUGAAGAAGUUUUCUAGCGCUGUGCUUCCUGCACUUAUGAAGAAUCCUCUGUUUGAUUGCAGCAUGAAUGACAGUGUGUCGCACAAAGUGGCUCUCCUGAAUUUACUUCUACGUAAAUUCAUAGGGCCUUUCUUGGCAAAUUUUUCAAAUAACUUAACGGAGGCACAUGCAAAGAGGAAGCUCCUGAACAAGAAACCUUUGCCAAGAAAAGUUCUGAAAGUUUAA